CGGCCGCGGUAUCCUGACCGUGCAAAGGUAGCAUAAUCAUUUGUUCCUUAAUUAGGGACUUGUAUGAAUGGCCACACGAGGGUUUAACUGUCUCUUACUUUCAAUCAGUGAAAUUGACCUUCCCGUGAAGAGGCGGGAAUAAAAAAAUAAGACGAGAAGACCCUAUGGAGCUUAAAUUAAACUAUUCAUGAAUAAUAAAUUUUGGUUGGGGUGACCUCGGAGUAUAAAACAACCUCCGAACCAAGACUCACUCGUCAAAGUCAAUCAUAUUGAUCAACGGAACAAGUUACCCUAGGGAUAACAGCGCAAUCCUAUUUAAGAGUUCACAUCGACAAUAGGGUUUACGACCUCGAUGUUGGAUCAGGACACCCAAAUGGUGCAGCAGCU
rnacentral:rRNA from 1 species